GUUAGGGGGCGGGAGNNGNUNGAGGNUANUUUCACGGGUAGGGGCGAAAUCCUAUAAUCCCGUGAAGGACCACCAGUGGCGAAGGCGCUCAACUGGAACGCGCCNGNCGGUGAGGGACGAAAGCCAGGGGAGCAAAGGGGAUUAGAUACCCCCGUAGUCCUGGCUGUAAACGAUGCGGGUUAGGUGUUGGGUUGGCUUCGUGCCAACCCGGUGCCGCAGCGAAGGCGAUAAACCCGCCGCCUGGGAAGUACGGCUGCAAGGCUGAAACUUAAAGGAAUUGGCGGGGGAGCACCACAAGGGGUGAAGCCUGCGGUUUAAUUGGAUUCAACGC
rnacentral:rRNA from 1 species